GUGGGGAAUCUUGCGCAAUGGGCGAAAGCCUGACGCAGCCAUGCCGCGUGGAUGAUGAAGGUCUUAGGAUUGUAAAAUCCUUUCACCGGUGAAGAUAAUGACUGUAGCCGGAGAAGAAGCCCCGGCUAACUUCGUGCCAGCAGCCGCGGUAAUACGAAGGGGGCUAGCGUUGCUCGGAUUUACUGGGCGUAAAGGGCGCGUAGGCGGACAUUUAAGUCAGGGGUGAAAUCCCGGGGCUCAACCUCGGAACUGCCUUUGAUACUGGGUGUCUUGAGUAGGAGAGAGGUGUGUGGAACUCCGAGUGUAGAGGUGAAAUUCGUAGAUAUGCGGAAGAACACCAGUGGCGAAGGCGACACACUGGCUCAUUACUGACGCUGAGGCGCGAAAGCGUGGGGAGCAAACAGGAUUAGAAACCCUGGUAGUCC
rnacentral:rRNA from 1 species